ensembl:lncRNA
UCUGGAACCUCAGAAUCUCCAGGGAAACUGAAAGUUCAUUACAGUUUCCUUGUGUGCCCAACUAUGGUUUUCCUGUAGUUGUGUGGACCAUCAGUAAUCCACUGGGUGUUCAGUUCCUCAGAUGCUGCAGUGCAUGAAGACUCUUAUGUUCACUCUUGCCACCAACAGGACAUCUGGUGGGUUUUAUUUUUUGUUCAGACAUUAGUUAGCAGCUGCAGGAAGUAAAUAAACCUGGAAGACAGAGGCAGCUACUCGGUCUGAUGGUUCACCUGGACAGUGAUGGGGCAGGGCUACACAAAGCUGGACCCCUAUUGGUCAAGAAUUACCAAACACAGACACGGAUUUGCACCAGAUGGGACCGUUAAGGGCUUUAUAGGAGGGAAAGGUUUUAAAUUCUGCUCUGAAACCGAUCAACCCUCACAUUACAAAGCUAUUCAUUUCACCUCAAUAUGUUCACUAUUUUAUGUGGAAGCAGAAAAGCUCUACAUGAGAAAUAAGUAGACUGGAUCUGAUGCAAAGCUAUACUUUAUUUGAAAGAGGAGAUACAAGGAGUCGGACCAAGGACCUCUGCAGUUGUGGAUGGACUGGUCCAGAUGUGUAAUGGAAGUGCUGGUUGUGGAACUGUCAGCAUCAAUCAUCUGAGACCUCACCACUGCUGUCAGACAGCUCGUCAUCCCCAGAAGAGUCGUAAUCCCCAGACGCCUCAUCCCCAGAAGCAUCAUCAUCCAUGAGUUCUGGAUCAGAAGCCUCCAUGUCAUCCAUCCCUCGCCACAGUCUGGGUUCAAAAGGUAACAAGGCAUUCAUCUCAGCAUCAAACAUGUUGGCUGUUGCAGAAUCCUCAUCGUAGUAAUCAUCUCCAGAAGAAUCAUCAUCGUACGCCUCAUCCCCAGAAGCAUCAUUAUCCAUGAAUUCGAGAUCAGACACCUCUAUGUCAUCCAUCCCUCUCCCCAGUCUGGGUCCUACAGGUGAAAAAGUGUCGUCAUCCUCCUCAGAGUCACCAGACGUCUCCAUGUCAGCCAACCCUCUCCCCAGUCUGGGUUUUACAGGCAUCGAGGAGUUCAGUGUUUCUUCAGCUUCCACCGUCAGUGUUGUGGUUGGAGCUGCUAUUGUGGAGUUUGUCUGGGUAUCAGUCAUGUUGGCCGUUGUGUUGUUGGUGUCAGACUCCUCAUCAUCUGACUGCUCUUCAUCCAACUCGUCAUCUGAAUCCUCCUCAUAACCAUCCAACUCUUCAUCAUCCUCAUCAGAAGGGCCAUCAUCUGAUGCAUCCAGGUAUUCUGAGGAAUUGUCCACCAUCUGUGUGAUUACAUUUGACAGGUGCAUUAGCAGAGUUUCCUUCAACAUGUGGAGGUUCUGCUCCUCCCAUCAUUUCAGUUUCCCCUCUCACCUGUCGGGGUUCCACAUUGUGCCAAUGACGAGGAUUCACCCCCCAGUCCCACUGGUCCUGGUGUUGCAGAGCUCUGCGCCGACGAUCCCGCCCAUCUCCUCUGGCUGCACCGAAACAAGCCGCCAGCAUCGUGGACAUCUCCCCAGCCGAAUCCAAAUAGAUCACUUCAAACAUGGAGUCCUGCACAACAUUCAGCCAUUAGUUCUCCACCCAACUAUGACAAACUGGAUGGUGGAUCACUCCAUCCUUACCUUGUCUGCCGGUGUGGAGAUCUGCACCAACACUGGCCCUGGAGUAGUGGUGGUCUGCACCCUCCCAACCACCACAUCUUUCCCCAGAGCCUUCACCUUCUGCAGUCUGCUUCCCUGAGGCAGUUUCACAGCCACUUCUGUGCUCCUGCAGCUCACCGCCGGCAGGGUCCACAUUGCAGGAUCCUCACAGGCGACCACAGCCGUCAUGUUCUCCCGCAGCAGGUGGUCGAAGUAACGCAGCUUCAACUGGUGGAACCACGUUCCAUUUGAAACCUGUGGAACAGACCAAGUCAUCACCAGUUAACAGUUUGUCAUUAGCUGGAGAACAUCCAGGAGUUC